rnacentral:rRNA from 1 species
UGAGUAACACGUGGAUAACCUACCUAUAAGACUGGGAUAACUUCGGGAAACCGGAGCUAAUACCGGAUAAGAUUUUGAACCGCAUGGUUCAAUAGUGAAAGACGGCCUUGCUGUCACUUAUAGAUGGAUCCGCGCCGUAUUAGCUAGUUGGUAAGGUAACGGCUUACCAAGGCAACGAUACGUAGCCGACCUGAGAGGGUGAUCGGCCACACUGGAACUGAGACACGGUCCAGACUCCUACGGGAGGCAGCAGUAGGGAAUCUUCCGCAAUGGGCGAAAGCCUGACGGAGCAACGCCGCGUGAGUGAUGAAGGUCUUCGGAUCGUAAAACUCUGUUAUCAGGGAAGAACAAACGUGUAAGUAACUGUGCACGUCUUGACGGUACCUGAUCAGAAAGCCACGGCUAACUACGUGCCAGCAGCCGCGGUAAUACGUAGGUGGCAAGCGUUAUCCGGAAUUAUUGGGCGUAAAGCGCGCGUAGGCGGUUUUUUAAGUCUGAUGUGAAAGCCCACGGCUCAACCGUGGAGGGUCAUUGGAAACUGGAAAACUUGAGUGCAGAAGAGGAAAGUGGAAUUCCAUGUGUAGCGGUGAAAUGCGCAGAGAUAUGGAGGAACACCAGUGGCGAAGGCGACUUUCUGGUCUGUAACUGACGCUGAUGUGCGAAAGCGUGGGGAUCAAACAGGAUUAGAUACCCUGGUAGUCCACGCCGUAAACGAUGAGUGCUAAGUGUUAGGGGGUUUCCGCCCCUUAGUGCUGCAGCUAACGCAUUAAGCACUCCGCCUGGGGAGUACGACCGCAAGGGUUGAAACUCAAAGGAAUUGACGGGGACCCCGCACAAGCGGUGGAGCAUGUGGUUUUA